rnacentral:rRNA from 1 species
UACGGUGGGGGCAAGCGUUGUUCGGAAUUACUGGGCGUAAAGGGCUCGUAGGCGGCCAACUAAGUCGGACGUGAAAUCCCUCGGCUUAACCGGGGAACUGCGUCCGAUACUGGAUGGCUUGAGUUCGGGAGAGGGAUGCGGAAUUCCAGGUGUAGCGGUGAAAUGCGUAGAUAUCUGGAGGAACACCGGUGGCGAAGGCGGCAUCCUGGACCGACACUGACGCUGAGGAGCGAAAGCCAGGGGAGCAAACGGG